rnacentral:lncRNA from 1 species
AGCCACUGUUAUGCAAAGUUCAAGGGCCUCUCUCACACUUAGCUGGGGGAGGAGUGAAUACAGCCUUUCUGAAGAAAGAAAAAUUAAGUAAUAGCAAAAUCAUUAAGUGUUUAUGAUUCAUAAAUACAGUUUUUGUCAACUAAAAAAAUAAAAUAUGUAGAAGUCAAAAAAGUGUCUAUGAUUCAGAAAUGCCACCGUUAGAAGUUGCCAUAAGAGUGCACACAAAAAGGACAUAUGGGUCAAAGUGUUUGCAGCAGUGUUGUCCCAAAUAAGGACAUUUUGCAACAUUGUGGGGUGGUUAAAAUAACUAUAGAAUAUGCAUUAGAAUACAAUGAAACCAUUAAACAUAAUGUGGAAGAAUAUUGUAUAUUAUAGGGAAAUGCUCAUAAUAUAUAGUGACAAUUUAAAAAGCAGAUUACAAAACAAUAUGCCAAGACAUGAUUUCUGCCCAAGUCUGCCCUGAUGGGUGAGCUAACCAAGGUUGCUGCACUGUGAGGGCAUAGGGGCUGCCCCUCAGCCCCCACCCCAGCCACUGGGCUCCUCAGGAAAGGACACGUGAGUGUUUACUGCACAUCCUACAGAUGAGGAGCUCACAAGGACCCUGGAUGGGGGAGUCCUCUGAGGUUGCUGGAGCUGCUGCAGCCAUCUUGUCACUGCCAGGGGAGAGCUCUCUCUGAGAGCGAAGGCACAGUGGAGGAAAGCAGAACUAAGAAGAGACAGAGAAAGCGAAAGUGGGAGAGAGAGAGAGAUAUGAGGUGACAAGUGUGGGUCCUUGGAUCCUGCUUGGUGUAAAGCUAGCCUGCUCCUGGACUUUACAGAUAAUAAAUUCCUUCCUCAUCAGAUUAACCUGGGUUUUUGUGGCUUGUAACCAAAAGGGUCUGCACGGCCCACACACAGGCUCCCAGCUCAUUUCCUUUGCAAUGAGUGGUAACUGGAGGCGGGCGGUGCAUGGACCUGCCUUGCAAGGCUUCUCUGUUAGUGGUGCCUGGAGCCCACUCUCUCAGCUGGCACAGCCAGUGUGACACAUCAGUCCGGGUGUGUCCUGGACCUACCCCCUUUCUGGGUGCAAACCAGAACUGAGGAUGCCGAGGGUGGUGGGGGGGUAGUUUCCUGCCUCAGGGCUGUGCUCCUGCUACCUCUUUGCCUAAAAUUCUCCCCUCUCUGUGCUCCCAGGGCCAGCUCCUUUGUAUGCUCUGUGAUUCUUUGAACAGCGCCCCCUCUGAGAAGCCUUCCCUGACCACCUGGCUGAGGACAUCAUUCUGUCCCAGCUUCCAUUUGCUUUGGGAGUGGCCUCCUGACACUUCACUUCCGUGAGGCAGGGACCAGUUCUGUCCUGGUCACUGCUGUAUCCCCAGCUCUAGAUAAGGCCUGAGACAUCGUAGGAGUGCCAGGGAUCUUUGGUUACUGAGAAAACGAGCAGCUAGAUCAAGGUUCCCAACACCAACACGCUGGGGACAUGUUGGGAGUCAACUUAGCCCUACCAGCAGGUGGAACUAGUUUUGCUGCUCCAAAACAGAGUUCUAGCUAUGGGGACAGCCACUAGAGAGCAGAGCUAAGUCCAUGCUAUGCUGAGGGGCCACAGUCUGCCCUGAACUGUGCCUCCCAGCCUGGAGCUAGUGAGGGGGCCGAGCCUGGGAGCUGACAGAUGAGGGCUCGGCGUGGGGACUUUUGGAGGGGAGGGCAUUUUCUUGAUCUUACCAUGGGGGCAACAGCUAGAUGGGUAGGGGGGGACCCACUCAAGGACAUACUGCGGCUUCAGGCUUCGACCAGCCCAGAACGCUCGCUCCAUCUGAGGGUCUUGAUAUCAGGGUGUGGCGUCAGGAGCCGGAGCCUACGGGUUGAAAGCCAAGAGUGGGCAAUCAAAGCUGAAACCAGGCCCACGACUUAGGAGCUGGAGAGCACACAGGGCUGAACACUCGAGUUGGUGACCAGGAAACCAGGGAGCAAAGUCUCCAGGGUGCUUGGGCAAGACCCCAGAUGGUCUGCAGCAACGCACGGGCAACACGGGAUGAUCAGCGCUACGUGGUGAGAAACUUACCUCCUUUUGCAGGACAACAUUUUCCAGUCCUUCUGAGUAAAUCAAAGAGAAGUCUCAGCUUGGUGAUUGCAGGUCUCUAAUGCUUAUUUCUCUGUCUCUGUCUCUCUCUCUUUUAACAAAAGUCUACCAGCGGCCUCAGGCUCAGGGCCUGUCUCAGGUAAAAGCGGGUUAGGGUGUAAUAACAGUGAUCGGUUUCAUUGUGUUUAUUUUUGUAGCUACUUUCUAAUUAUAGCAAGUGAUUCUGAGUUUCCAUUUAGGAUAGUAAUAGGAAGUUUCUUUUUCAAGUAAAUGUGCAUAAGUAAAAGGAGACUGCUCAAAGGAAAACAGCUGGUGAUUGAUAGAACAGGCUGUGGCAUUGUUGGGCCCCAGAGGGAAGGGCUGUGUGAGCAUGCAGGAAAUUCUGGGAAGGCAGCUAAAUGCAGUUGCUGCAUGGGGGCCAGGAAGCAUUUGGAGACGUGGCUGGGCACAGCUUGGCUUUUGAGCCCAAGAGAGGCCUGCUGGGGAUGUGUUGGGAGCCAACCUACCCCUACCAGCAGGUGGAACUGGUUUUGCCACUCCAAAACAGAGUUCCAGCUAUGGGGACAGCCACUAGAGAGCAGAGCUAAGGGCAUUCUAGGCCAAGGGGUCACAGUCCACCCUGAACUGUGCCUCCCAGCCUGAAGCCAGAAAGCUCAGGGAGGCUAGCGGCCCUGCCCAGGCCUCAGCACUGACCCUGCACCCCUAGGCCCAGCUGGAUGACCCCUAAGAGCUUCCUGGAAUUUGGAUGCAGGGUUAUUCUGUGUGUGCUGCCUCUCAGAGCAUGUCACUUUGACGUGGACAUCUCGGGUCUGGUUCUGGUGCUGUCCCUGUCUCGCCACGUGACCCUGGAUAAGUCAUCUCUCCAGGCCUUGAUUUCCCCAUCUGUAAACAGAGGUGAGUGAAAUGAUCUUUAAAGGCGUGUCAGUCCAUUUUGCAUUGCUAUAAAGGAAUACCUGAGGUUGGGUAGCUUAUAAAGAAAAGAGGGUUAUUUGGCUCACAGUUGUGCAGGUUGUACAGAAGCAUGGCACCAGCAUUGCUUCUUGUGAAGCUUCAGGAAGCUUCCACUUAUGGUGGAAGGGGAAGGGGGAGUUCGUGACUUACAUGGCAAGAGAGGGAGCAAGAGCCAUGUCAGGCUCUUCUAAACAACCAGCUCUCAUGUAAACUAACAGAGUGAGAACUCAUUCAUUACCACGGGGAGGGCACCAAGCCAUCCAUGAGGGACCUGCCCCCAUGAGCCAAACAUCUCCCACCAGGCCACACCUUCAACACUGGGAGUCACAUUCAGCAUGAGAUUUGGAGGUGACCACCAUGCAUCCAAACCAUAUCAAGGACCCAUUUCGGUGAGGGGACCAGGAACAUAUCCCUUCCCCUCUCCUCCACAUCCUUUAAUGUGGAGUUCAGCAAGGAAAGUAGGGCUUGGGUCAAAUUAAAGCCUGGUCUUAAUUUCCUGGUCCAGUUAUUAGCUGUGUAACCCUGGGCAAGUCACUUAACCCCCUCAGGUUACAAUGUUACAAAUGAUCACAUUUUCCUCAACUGAAAAAUGGGAUAGGAACAUGUCCCAAGCAGAGCUGGAGUGACGGUGCUAUCAAUGGCCCGGCAGUGCCUGGUCACACAGUAGGCCUGGGGAGCCCUGACUUUUACCGCACAGGGAGCUGCUUGCAGAGCUUGUUUUCAAUUGUGGGCUUGGCAGGGAACUGCCGGCAUCCCAGGGGACAGGGUCUCAUGAGGAUGCCUAAUCCCAGCUCAAAGUGGAGACCCCAGGACUCCAUCACAGCCAGUGGGGGGGAGUGGCUGCUGCAGCAGGGAGGGCUUCAUUGGAAUGAACCCCUUUAAGCUCCAGUCCAAAUGCCCAGAGUGGUUUUGCAGGUAUGGUUGUGAGGCUGGCAUGGUAGUCCCAUCUGCAGUCCCCUGGGAUGAGGCACCUGUAUGGUAGAGGGCCCGGGUGGAGAGAAGAGAAGGAUGGGGAUGAACCCAGGACCACAGAUGGCCCAGUUCCAUGGAUGAUUUUCAUUGAGGUGCCUUCAAGUCAGUUCAACACUGGGCUUCUCAACCUUUGAGGUAUGCAGGUAAGAGUCACCUGCGGCAGUGGGGGAUGCUCUUGUUAAAGUGCAGACUCCGAUUAAGCAGGUCUAGGGUGGGGCCUGAAAUUCUGUGUUCCUAACAAGGCUCCAUCCUGGGUAUGGAGGUCAGGUACCCCCUCACCUCUCCUGUGGACCCAGCUUUUGAGGGGUCAGGAGAAGAAUGUUCAGUCCCAGCUGCCACCACUCUAAAGUCCCCUAGAAACAAGGACUAAUACAGGUGGCGUGGGAGAGGGCCCAGGCAAACAGGGAGGUGGGGUACCCCGGUGGGGCUGCAGUGGGCCCUGCGGAAAGCUUGCUGGAGGUGGGGGCCUAAGGAAUUCAAGGACUUGUUCCAGGAACCCAAGGAACGAGUGGGCUCUAACUGCUGCAGCAUAUGGGAGAUGCCAGGAGGAGCUGGCUGUGGCAGGCCAUCCCAGUCCAUCAGACAACUUGUAGUGGAUGAAGAUGCAGUGUCCAUGGCCAGAAGAAACUCCCGUGGAUGCUCAGGCCAAGGCUGCCAGAAGCACGAGGAGGGGCAGCAUUGAGUGUCAUCGGGAAAAGGCAAAGUGAUGGUCCUGAAGCUGCCCCAUGUGGCCAGUCCCUUUUUGGGAAGCCUGAAUAAAUCCAUUUCCUGUGCACUGUGUGGGAAGCCAACCCCUCUUCAGAGCACCUCUGAACUCAACAGGAUCCUACACUUCUUAUAGGCCUGGCUUGAUGCUGACAUCCUUCAGCCCCAGGGAAGACCUAAAGAUCUCCAGGUCUUGAGGCACCUGGAACACCUCCACCUGAGACCACUUUAACAUGAUUUCUCUGCUUGAGGGAUUUUGGACCAUGCUGUGUGUAUUCAGCCCUAAAACAUGGGCGAGUGCCCGCUUGCAGUUCAAAUUCUCAGAGGAAGUUCCCUGUACUCCACCCAGUGCCAAGUUUAGUUUGUGCAAAUUUCCUUAAUGUCCCCUCCUGUACAACAGGCUUAUUUGGUGUUAACCCUCAUAUCGGGGGUCUAACUCUUUGCUUUUCCAGCUUUUGUGCUGGAAUAUCCCAUUAAACUGUCCAUGUUGGG